rnacentral:lncRNA from 1 species
CACGAUGCUACAUUUCCAUGGACACGGAUUGAGCUUCCACAAGAUGAUCAGAAGUGGGGUAUAAUUUGAGGUUGACUAAGCUGCAUUCGUUGCAUGCAUGGAUAGUUUGAACACAAGGAAAGUGUCAUCUAAAUUGUGAAAUUCUGCAAAAGGCUGGUGUGCGUGGCUCACUGCUUUCCUGCUAUGAGAAGACUCUUCCUCCACUGGUGACAGUUUG